rnacentral:lncRNA from 1 species
UUUGUUAACGCGCGUACGCCUGUUUUUCAGUUGGUAACUGUUGGUAUCGGAGGGGUUAAUUUUUAAAAGGAGUUUAGCGUAGCGGAUUAAAAUACAGAGAGCGUACAGCGUAACAAGUCACAGUUGAAACGAAUUUAGCCUUUUUAUAAAAAUCAAUUUUCUUUCAGAAAAUUUACCAAGUAAAUAACGUGCGUUAAUAAUAAAAUGAGUGUAGGGCAAAAGAAAAUCACACAAUGAUUUUUAUACUGGUUCGAUUCAACAGAAUCUACGUCCAGUCGUUAAUCACUACAAAGAGUGAUUAACAGUUCCACUAAAAAUUGGUUUAACAGAUUACAAGAUAAUAAACAGGAACAGAAUGAAGGAAACCACUCUACCAACUUGAAGAGAACCUGCACCGGCAAUCGACACACGAUUCACGUGCUUCUCCUUACAUAAGACCAGGUAGAGAGCCCUGCCAACUUGAAGAGAGUCCACUUCGACUAUCGGCACACGAUACGUAAGCCUCUCCUUCCACAAGACCAGGCAAGGGAACACAGUAAACAAAAAGCUUUCUCAAGAACGUUCCUCUGACUACUCAGUGUUCUGGCUUUCUCAGUUUACUCAAAAAUGUUCAGUUCUGAAGCUUUCAAAAUUCACUUAAAUAGCCAAACACACUGAAUGCCAAAGGUCAGCUCACAACUNCCAUGAAUAAUCGAUUAUUGUAAGUGAUAAUCGAUUAUUCAAGUNCGUUAUAGAAAGUUCAAAAAGAGAUAAUCGAUUAUUGUAAGUGAUAAUCGAUUAUUCAAGUGAGACUUGUGAUAAUCGAUUAUUGCUUCAUGAUAAUCGAUUAUUGUAGUUCAAAAGCAUAUGAUAAUCGACUAUUGUAGUUCAAAAGCAUAUGAUAAUCGAUUAUAGCAUGUCCAUAAUCGAUUAUAUCUAUAGAAAUUACAAUGUUUAAUUAUUUUCCUACUACAAUCAAGAGACUACAAGUUGCUUUUAAAUAUUCUCCUAUUACAAACAAAAAUUACAAUUUGCAGCAUCAUCAUAACUUGUCUUCAGGAUUUACCAAUACUCCCUUAUUGGUAACAAUCUCCCCCUUUUUGAUGAUGAUAAAAAAUCCUCUUUCAAAAGCAACUCAGUUUUACCUGCAAGACAUACAAACUAAAAACAGCCACAAACUUAGCAGUACCUGUUCAAGUUUAUUUCUCCCCUUAAUAAAUUUCUUCUCCCCUUAUAUUAUUCUUCUCCCCCUUUUUUAUCAUAAGCAAAAAGAUUAAAUUAAAAAGCUCCCCCUAAAUAGGAUCUCCCCCUAAAUAUGAUCUCCCCCUCAAUUAAACAAUGUAUGCAUAAAACAAGAGAUCAUGUUAUUCAUAAAAGAAAGGAUUACAUAAACACCAUAAGGAGAAACAUAAAAGACAAAAAUAUAACAUAGAGAUAAGAAUAACAACCAAUCAACAAAGCACACAAACAUAAAAUCCUAAUUCUAAAAUUCAGGACUUUGAAAUCUCUCGGGUGGUUGAAGGUUGAGGUGAUUUGCAAUAUUUCCUAGGCGAACAUCAAUUUCAUGAAAUUGAUCAACCAUAUAAUCUUCAUGAGCUUGCUACCACUAAUAAAUUUGAUCAAAGUUAGCUUUCUGGACAAGACUCAUAUUCUCCAAUUAUCACAAAAGUUCUCAAUCAAAAGUUCUC